UAUUUUGAGCUGAUGCAAUUCCAUUUAAUCUUGAAAGAUUUUUGCUUACGAAUUAUAUAAGAUCAUAACAUUGUUUUGUUGUACUUUGAACCCGAAAAUGGAAGUAAACAAUGCCCUAUACAAACUGGUCUGCACUUCAUCAUUGGAAGUUUUUCUUAUAAUGAAAAAAAGAAAAUGGUAUAAAAUACCGGAGAAGGUUAUAUACUUUACCAGAGAAUUAUCGUGACAGAGUACAAAAAACGACAGACGGGAGGAAAAAAGAGGAACAAAAAAUAAUUAGAGUCUAUUUUGAUAUUUUAAUAUAAUUUUGUUAGACUUUAUCAGUAAUUCGAACAUGUACAUUAUCUACAUAAAUACUAUAAAGAUCUUUACCUAAUAUUUUUAUGGAGUGCGCUAAUGUCUAGAGUGGCAAUAAAACAGUCAUAAGCAUAUUCCCUUUCUGCUAGACUAGGGGAUCCCAACCUUCUUCUACAUUGACCUCAUCGAAAAAAAUAAAAGUUUUCACCCAAUAAUCAAUGACACCACAUAAUAAUGAUAAUGAAAUAGUUUGGCGCAAUGAAUUAUAUAAACUUCAAGGCAAAAUUUGUUUGAAAU